AGUGAACGCUGGCGGUAGGCCUAACACAUGCGAGUCGAACGGCAGCACAGUAAGAGCUUGCUCUUACGGGUGGCGAGUGGCGGACGGGUGAGGAAUACAUCGGAAUCUACUUUUUCGUGGGGGAUAACGUAGGGAAACUUACGCUAAUACCGCAUACGACCUACGGUUGAAAGCAGGGGAUCUUCGGACCUUGCGCGAUUGAAUGAGCCGAUGUCGGAUUAGCUAGUUGGCGGGGUAACGGCCCACCAAGGCGACGAUCCGUAGCUGGUCUGAGAGGAUGGUCCGCCACACUGGAACUGAGAGACGGUACAGACUCCUAGGGGAGGCAGCGGUGGGGAAUAUUGGAAAAUGGGGGGAAGACUGAUCCAGCCAUACCGCGUGGGUGAAGAAGGCCUUCGGGUUGUAAAGCCCUUUUGUUGGAAAGAAAAGCAGCAGGUUAAUACCCCGCUGUUCUGACGGUACCCAAAGAAUAAGCACCGGCUAACUUCGUG
rnacentral:rRNA from 1 species